rnacentral:rRNA from 1 species
GACCUUGCCAUAUUGUAGCGGCCGAUAUCGAAUUAUCUAGUUGGUGGGGUAACGGCUCACCAAGGCGACGAUCCGUAGCUGGUUUGAGAGGACGACCAGCCACACGGGGACUGAGACACGGCCCAUACUCCUACGGGAGGCAUCAGUGGGGAAUUUUGGACAAUGGGGGAAACCCUGAUCCAGCCAUCCCGCGUGUGCAAUGAAGGCCUUCGGGUUGUAAAGCACUUUUGGCAGGAAAGAAACGUCCCGGGUUAAUACCCCGCGAAACUGACGGUACCUGCAAAAUAAGCACCGGCUAACUACGUGCCACCAGCCGCGGUAAUACGUAGGGUGCAAGCGUUAAUCGUAAUUACUGGACGUAAAGCGUGCGCAGGCGGUUCGGAAAGAAAGAUGUGAAAUCCCAGAGCUUAACUUUGGAACUGCAUUUUUAACUACCGGGCUAGAGUGUGUCAGAGGGAGGUGGAAUUCCGCGUGUAGCAGUGAAAUCGGUAGAUAUGCGGAGGAACACCGAUGGGGAAGGCAGCCUCCUGGGAUAACACUGACGCUCAUGCACGAAAGCGUGGGGGGCAAACAGGAUUAGAUACCCUGGUAGUCCACGCCAUAAAUGAUGUCAACUAGGGGUUGGGGCCUUCNGGCCUUGGUAGUGCAGCUAAAGCGUGAAGUUGACCGCCUGGGGAGUACGGUUGCAAGAUUAAAACUCAAAGGAAUUGACGGGGACCCGCACAAGCGGUGGAUGAUGUGGAUUAAUUCGAUGCAACGCGAAAAACCUUACCUACCCUUGACAUGUCUGGAAUGCCGAAGAGAUUUGGCAGUGCUCGCAAGAGAACCGGAACACAGGUGCUGCAUGGCUGUCGUCAGCUCGUGUCGUGAGAUGUUGGGUUAAGUCCCGCAACGAGCGCAACCCUUGUCAUUAGUUGCUACGAAAGGGCACUCUAAUGAGACUGCCGGUGACAAACCGGAGGAAGGUGGGGAUGACGUCAAGUCCUCAUGGCCCUUAUGGGUAGGGCUUCACACGUCAUACAAUGGUCGGGACAGAGGGUCGCCAACCCGCGAGGGGGAGCCAAUCCCAGAAACCCGAUCGUAGUCCGGAUCGCAGUCUGCAACUCG